rnacentral:rRNA from 1 species
GACGAACGCUGGCGGCGUGCUUAACACAUGCAAGUCGAACGAGUGGCGGACGGGUGAGUAAUGCUUGGGAAUCUAGCUUAUGGAGGGGGAUAACUACGGGAAACUGUAGCUAAUACCGCGUACCAUAGGAUGAGCCCAAGUGGGAUUAGGUAGUUGGUGAGGUAAAGGCUCACCAAGCCGACGAUCCCUAGCUGGUCUGAGAGGAUGACCAGCCACACUGGGACUGAGACACGGCCCAGACUCCUACGGGAGGCAGCAGUGGGGAAUAUUGCGCAAUGGGGGCAACCCUGACGCAGCCAUGGCGCGUGAAUGAAGAAGGCCUUCGGGUUGUAAACUCCUUUUGUUAGGGAAGCGGUACCUAACGAAUAAGCACCGGCUAACUCCGUGCCAGCAGCCGCGGUAAUUC